GUAAAGAAUGGUGGUUGCAGAUCAUGAGAGCCAUUCAUUUAUACUAUACCAUUCCAUUUUUAUUGCUUCAAUUUUUGUCAUUUUAGCCGCUGAAUGUAGCUGGAACAGAACAUGUUGGAAUUUUAGCAUCAGGACAUCUGGCUGGUUGGAUGAUUAAACAUCCCUCUGUGUGGACACAAACAUUGUGUCUAGUUUUCAUCUGUAGAUUAUUUCUGGGAUAAUAACUUUGUCACCGACACUGUGACUUUAAAACCAGCAGUUGAACAGCCUUUCAAUUCCAAACAAGAAAUUACUCAAGUGACAUGACACUAUAUGGCUGGUAUUGGAGUAGCUAAUGCUGGUCGUAUGCAGAAUAUCUCACUGAGAAGGGGUUCUACUGUGGAAGGAGUAUCGUGUUUUACUACAGGCUGACCAGAAUCACAAACACAUUGAUUGAAAACUAUCAUCAAUUUCAAGAAUUGGUUGAGAACCAUUUUCUAGGCUGUUUGUAGUAAAGUAUGUUAUAUAUAGCUAUGAAUUCAUGUUAUCCCAACAAAUUGAAAACAAUUGUACUAAUUUUUAUCUACCUUUGUCGAAGCAUUGUUAGCUAUAGGUCCC